GGGAAUAUUAGAGUGAGAGCGAGUAUGGACGACUUAACUGAACGGUCUCUGAUCACAGGAAGUGGAAGUGGGAUCACCGAAGGAGGACUGAAGGCAGAAGAAGACUGGCCGAUCUUUGAGGGUUCUCAGAAGAUUCGCAGAUUCUCAGAUCUAUUCUUCUCCUCCGCCGCUCAGUUGUUCUGGGACUGAAUGACGUUUAAAGCACUGAAAGGCUCCGCUCCUAUCUGUCCUUGGAGAACGAAGCUGUUCUCCUAUCAAAUCACAUCUUUCACAUACAAAAGAUUAGAUUAUAUAAGUGUCUGGAACACAUUUGAGGCAGCUCAGGGGAACACUACAGAAAGUUCCAUUCAAGAUGGACUGGAGAGAUGCAGGGUUUUUUGUUUGUUUGUUUGGUUGGUUUUUGUGCAUAUUAACAAAACACAGGCACAAUCAGUGUGUGUUGUCCAGUUAACACAUGCAAAAUUAUUUUAAAUUGC